UACGAAGGGGGCUAGCGUUGUUCGGAAUCACUGGGCGUAAAGCGCACGUAGGCGGAUUUUUAAGUCAGGGGUGAAAUCCCGGGGCUCAACCUCGGAACUGCCUUUGAUACUGGAGAUCUUGAGUCCGGAAGAGGUAAGUGGAACUGCGAGUGUAGAGGUGAAAUUCGUAGAUAUUCGCAAGAACACCGGUGGCGAAGGCGGGUCUCUGGGCAUCUCCUGACGCUGAGGCGCGAAAGCGUGGGGAGCAAACGGG
rnacentral:rRNA from 1 species